UCGAAAAAGGCAAACCCCGCGAAAGCGGGGGGCGCAAAGUCACGGGUCUACAGCACGCCUGCGUGCCAUGACGGCCGGACUGCCG
rnacentral:ncRNA from 1 species